UGAAGCAGAUGGGCAUCAGUGCAGUAAAUGUUCGGCCCGCUCGGAUGCUGCCUGCUCCUGAUGAGCUGUCUGUGGAAAUCUGCCUGUACCCGAUUACCAAGACUUCCUGCCACUCAAAGUCAGACAAGCCCCAGAUGUAAUUUGAGGAGGAGCCUGUACCCCAAAUAACAGAGAUGACACCCAAAGCGGAUACGUCGCAGACACUUUGGCUUACGAGGGUUCUUGAAUCGCAGUAAGACCGUCCGUCAUGGAGUCAUUCGUCUGACAUUCCUCUACGUGCCCUUAUUGUGGAGAACUGUACUGUCCAACCAACUGUUGUCAUCCUGUGUGCAUCAGUCGGACCGCACACAGAGCCCAGUCUGCCAGGACGCCCCAUCUGGCCCCGUCGAGUGAAAGGGACUCUGAAAGACCAAGACAUCACAAGAAGGCAGGUGCCCGCAGGUGCCACCUCUAUUGUCUCACCUGUCCAUCUCUGCGCUGCCCCCUUCGUGGUUCUGGCGUGUAACAUGACAGCCUGGGGUCAAAAGGCAGACAGGAGGGGGACAGAGUGACAAGAGAGCAAAACAGAACACAAGUCGGCAGAUUUAGCGGUUAUUCAACAUUUCCUGCCAGAUUCUGUCUGCAGCUGUAAAUCUGAGCUUCCCAACAAAACAAUGCGACAGUGAGCGAUGAGAUGAGGGGAGAACAACGGAAGUU